GAUGAACGCUGGCGGCGUGCCUAAUACAUGCAAGUCGAGCGAACGGACGAGAAGCUUGCUUCUCUGAUGUUAGCGGCGGACGGGUGAGUAACACGUGGAUAACCUACCUAUAAGACUGGGAUAACUUCGGGAAACCGGAGCUAAUACCGGAUGAUAUUUUGAACCGCAUGGUUCAAAAGUGAAAGACGGUCUUGCUGUCACUUAUAGAUGGAUCCGCGCUGCAUUAGCUAGUUGGAAGGUAACGGCUUACCAAGGCAACGAUGCAUAGCCGACCUGAGAGGGUGAUCGGCCACACUGGAACUGAGACACGGUCCAGACUCCUACGGGAGGCAGCAGAAGGGAAUCUUCCGCAAUGGGCGAAAGCCUGACGGAGCAACGCCGCGUGAGUGAUGAAGGUCUUCGGAUCGUAAAACUCUGUUAUUAGGGAAGAACAUAUGUGUAAGUAACUGUGCACAUCUUGACGGUACCUAAUCAGAAAGCCACGGCUAACUACGUG
rnacentral:rRNA from 1 species